rnacentral:ncRNA from 2 species
AACCUAUCGAGAGUGUCGGAGGGACGGACCCGUCGAUGACACAGCAACCGGACGAAAAGUCGUCACAGGUGCUAAAUUCCGCAGGGCGAGGCUCUGGAAGAUAGGAC